AUCUUAUUCCAAAAUAAAUAUGACGUAAGUGAAACCGUAAUCUUUCGGCGACUCCUCACCACCACCAUCAUCCUCGUUCAUGCUCUGCGCUGCCAGGCCGGAGGUUGCUCGCAGCUGACGUUCCUCGGUCGUCUCCCCGUCGUUUCACCGAUCUCCUCACGUCUGUUCCAGUGUUCCUCUGUUCUUCUGGUUUCUCUUCUCUUGUUGCUUCUUUUGGCUUCUGCUUCUGCUACUGAUUCUUCUUCUGGCUUAAGCUUCUGCUGGUUCAACUGCUUCUGCUGCUUCUUCUUCGUCUGGGCAUCUGGGCUUCUGAUUUUUCUUCUGUUUAAAUUCUGGAAGUUUACUCUUCUGUCAAAUAUGAAUAGCUAGGAACUAAUAGUUUGUUAGAGAUUAGUGUUAUUUGCUUCUGUUUCGCUUGCAAUUUAGGUUCACUUCUCCAUCUUCAUUAAACACAAUGAAAUAAGUUUCUUGCAUGUCAUUGGUUGCAGUUCUUGAUUUAUGUUUGUUCCUUUUUGGAUCUUGGACAUGCGUUUCAAAUGCCUAAAAACUUGUAAUAUGUGACUGUGUAAAAGGAUUUGCUGCAUCUUUAUAGGCUAUUCCCUUGAAGCUGCUUGCUUUCCUUUGAUGAACUGUUAUAAUAGAUUUGGAGCUUAAUCAGAAUUUAGAAUUGUGAAUAUUUGAAGAAAACCGUCAAGUCUUAUUAUUACAUUUUUCUCUAUGUCUGGACAAUACAAUCAACAUAGACCCCUUUAUUAAAUCAUUCACAUUUAACAUGUUACUCUUUUCUCUGAAUUUAUUUAUUUAUUUAUUCUUGUGUUUGCAUUGCUCUAUGCAUUUAUGUAAUUAUGUAUGCAUAUGCAAAGGUUCCUGAUUAUUUAUUUUUUGUCAUCAUCCUUUUAGUAAAUUAGUUGGAGGGAGGAGGACUCACCAUAUGGAACUCUUUACCCAACAGAAGGUUCAAAGAUACGAAGAAUUCGUUGAACCGGAUCUUCAACGCGCUAUCGAUGAGUGGACAAGGUCUUUGAACAACAGAAAAUUUUGUAUCCUUUUUCAGUUUUAUGUAUUCUGGUGACAGAUCAAUUAGGACCGCCACCAUAUAUUUUUAUCAUCCAUGUCUUGUAAAAUCCAUGGUUACAUCAAAGCCCCCUAUCAAGUGGAUCAUGCCAAUAAGCUGAUUUAGGGAUUAGGUUGCAAUUUGCAUCCCAAGACUGCCUCUUUAAACUAACUUGUUCAUUAUUAUUACAUACUACAUAAUUUUAGGAAUUUCAAAAGAGAAAAAGAAUAUUUAUGUAUCUAAUUAUUUAUAUAUAUCCGUGUGAAACUUGUUAUAUUACAUACCAUCUAUGAAUUCAAUGUUGCACUCUACAAAGUUCCUUGUGUUAUAAAGGGAUUCACUUGAAAUUUUGUUCUCAGUGCUGAUUUGCGAAGAAACAUUGAAAACCUAGAGAAGAAUAGUGUUACCAGUCUAAGAACUCUGGUCAAUCUUGCAUCCGAGGUGUACUUGCAAGCAGAAGUGCCCAAUACGCAACAUAUUUUUGUGGAUGUAGGGUUGGAAUUCCAUGUUGAAUUUACUUGGUCUGAAGCUUUGAACUACAUACAGAAAAGGGAAGAAACAAUAGCUAAACUGAAAGGUCGCAGCUGAUAAUUGAUCAGUGUAUAGAAUUACUCUGGCUUGCAAAUAGAUGAGUACAAUCAGUCAAUCGCAUCAAUUAAAGCGCAGAUCAAGCUGGUUCUCGAAGGGAUUCGAGAAUUACUACAACUUCCAGCUGAGAAAUCAUUACCUGAGCGGAAUUUUUGAUGCUUACUGAGUAUAAUUCCAGAUCAUUCAUCUUUAGUCUCUUGAACAAUUGUAACUUCCGGAUCAUUCAUGUUUAGUCUCUUGCGAACAAUUGUAAAGGAACAAUGCAAGGCAAUGAUGUGAUCAUGUGAAACAGGACAAAGAUUUUAUUUACCCCAAAUAUUGUCAUUCUAAUUGCAUAUAUUAUAAUGAUUAAACACGAAACCAAAACAUUGAUUAAGAACCCAAAGGGGCAAGUCUGUUCAUCUGUGAUUCUCUUUAGUUGAAAUGCUGAUCUUAGUAUCUCCC